GCUUUGGAAGUUUUGGUAGAAAUGAAAAAACAAGGUAUACCUUUCAACAAAGAAACCUAUCUACUUGCAGUUGCAAUAUGCUAUAAAUUGGGCAACCUGGAGUCUUCCAAAACUUUUGUGAGACUGCUUGAAGAAGCACAGCUUAAAGGGGACACGUCACUGAGAGCAUACUGCUUUACAAUGGCAACUGCUCUCAAGCAGAACAAUAUAGCACAAGCCAAGUUUUAUUGAUCCCAGAUAAUGAGAACAGAGAACAAACUAUACAGUAAUCUCAAAGCUCUUGUAUCAGGAUUUUCCUAUGCUGAAUAUUCUGGAAGUGAAUGGAUGGAAGUGAGCAAAGUGGUAUGAGUAUCUGAGCUGACUUCUGUGGUUCAGGAGAAGAAAAUGUGGUCUUCAUCAGAUGUAAUGUUCUGACUGAAAGGAUAGAGGCAGGCAGAAGUCCAGAUAAAAGAGCAUGGAAGUGCUUGAACUACUAAUUCAAAGUCUGUAGAUGCCAAGAGAAUCAGAGGGAAGGCAAGCAUCUUUUGUUCACUUUAAUAUCUUUUUCUUUUAAAGAAAUAUAUUAGUAUUUUUUUUCAUAUCAGCUGGGAUCAUGGGAAUGCCGUGGGAUUUAGCAUGGUAACCAAGUGGUUGCUUUCUUGCUUGAAGGAGAUUCCUGAUCAAAAGUCACUCUCAGAGUGAGUGACUUCACAAAUUGCUUCCUUCUAAUUUUCUGGUAUUAAGAUUCCUAGGAUAAGCCAAUCUUGAUGCAAGUAAUAGGAAGUUUUUUAGAGCAAUUAUGAUCACAUUUUUAGCUAUAAUUACACCAUCUGCAUAGUUUACCCUAUGUUUUGUUCAAAGAAAAAGUACAAAGAAGCUUCAUUUUGUCCAGCUUUAAUGACUCUGGAUCAAAUGUGCUUGACUCGAGCAAUAAAACACUGUUUAUGUCUGUGAGUCUUGUAUAC
rnacentral:lncRNA from 1 species